rnacentral:rRNA from 1 species
AGUGAACGCUGGCGGUAGGCCUAACACAUGCAAGUCGAACGGCAGCACAGUAAGAGCUUGCUCUUACGGGUGGCGAGUGGCGGACGGGUGAGGAAUACAUCGGAAUCUACUUUUUCGAGGGGGCUAACGUAGGGAAACUUACGCUAAUACCGCAUACGACCUACGGGUGAAAGUAGGGGAUCUUCGGACCUUGCGCGAUUGAAUGAGCCGAUGUCGGAUUAGCUAGUUGGCGGGGUAAAGGCCCACCAAGGCGACGAUCCGUAGCUGGUCUGAGAGGAUGAUCAGCCACACUGGAACUGAGACACGGUCCAGACUCCUACGGGAGGCAGCAGUGGGGAAUAUUGGACAAUGGGCGCAAGCCUGAUCCAGCCAUACCGCGUGGGUGAAGAAGGUCUUCGGGUUGUAAAGCCCUUUUGUUGGGAAAGAAAAGCAGCAGGUUAAUACCCCGCUGUUUUGACGGUACCAAAAGAAUAAGCACCGGCUAACUUCGUG